CCUGCGAGGGAUGGAGCGGACCAGUACUAAUAGCUCGAGGACUUUACCA
rnacentral:rRNA from 1 species